GCCUUGAUGUGCUCAAACCAGCUGGAAGCAAAUACUGCAAAGGAGAAGACAGACAUGUUAUCGCCACAUUAGACGUUCACCUUGAGCUGCACUGGUGACAACGUGCCACAAGCACCUAAUGCCAUCAUUUAGCUGGGAUAGACUCCAGCCCCCCUGCGUGCAGCAUAAGUGGUUUGACGAUGGAUGGAUGAAAAAGAAAACACUUGGCUAGAGAGCUGCCUACCUUGCCUUUCUUCUGGCUCAGGGCGGAAGGUAAUAACGAGAACGGCAGAUGGCUGACUGUCAUCCGUGGUGACCGAGACUUGAUAAAUGCCUCUGUUUGCACCUCGAUCCAAGGGA